rnacentral:rRNA from 1 species
UACGUAGGGCGCAAGCGUUGUCCGGAAUUAUUGGGCGUAAAGAGCUCGUAGGCGGUUUGUCGCGUCUGGUGUGAAAACUCAAGGCUCAACCUUGAGCUUGCAUCGGGUACGGGCAGACUAGAGUGCGGUAGGGGUGACUGGAAUUCCUGGUGUAGCGGUGAAAUGCGCAGAUAUCAGGAGGAACACCGGUGGCGAAGGCGGGUCUCUGGGCCGAUACUGACGCUGAGGAGCGAAAGCGUGGGGAGCGAACAGG